rnacentral:misc_RNA from 1 species
CUCGACGUUCCCACCAUGCAUUGCGACGGAAGCGAAGAAGAGGGAGUAGCUAGUAUAUCACCCACUGCAAGGGAGCUCGUUGGUCUCUUUUUGGCGUCGGACGUUGUCUCGGACGGGCUCUUCUGGAGAUUUCGAUUACGCAGAACUCAACUUCGGCUCGCCGCUUGGCACGACGACGCAGAACAACGGACGCGGACAGUCAUGACUGGCACGGAGACUCCCAACGUGAAAUCAGAGACGACGAGCGCACCGGUCGAGAACAGCAAUGAGAAUCCGCGCGAGCGAAAUCCGCCGGGAAGCGGAAAUCGCGGACCUCGCGGCCGAAAAGGCGGCACGAGGUUCUCGGGUGGACGCGGUGGCGGAAUGGGCGUCGGUGGCGGAAUGGGCGGCGGUGGCGGCGGCGGCAGUGGCAGUGGAAGAAACGAAGCGAUGAAAAUGAACGAUUCCAUGGAUGGAGGCUUGGAUAACCCCAUGUCCGAGAGUAUGGGUGGAAUGGGUGGUGGCAUGGGUGGAAUGGGUGGAAUGAGUGGAAUGGGUGGAAUGGGUAUGGGUCGCGGUGGCGGAAUGCGAGGAGGCGGAAGGGGUGGCCGUGGUGGCGGCGACAGAACUAUGGCCAACAGAUCACAAGAUGACCGAUUAAUGGAACGCGUCAUGGGUAUUAGUGGACCAACUCACGAGCUUCCUCCACAAGAGACAACAGAGAAGAAGUUUAGUGGCAGAAAUCGUUUGUAUAUUGGCAAUUUGACAAAUGACGUAACCGAGGAGGAGAUACAAAACAUGUUUCAGAAAUAUGGGGAGGUAUCCGAGCUGUUUGUGAACAAGGAAAAAAGCUUUGCUUUUCUCAGAAUGGAUUAUAAAGCGAAUGCCGAAACGGCGAAACGCGAGCUAGAUGGUAUAAUGCGCAAAGGUCGCGCAUUGAAAGUACGUUUCGCGCCGCACUCGUCGACGAUCAAGGUGAGGAAUCUCACUCCAUGGAUAUCGAAUGAGCUUCUCGAGAGAGCCUUCGGUGUGUUUGGCGAGAUCGAGCGUGCGACGGUGACCGUUGACGAGAGAGGCAAGACCACCAGUGAAGGAAUCAUUGAGUUUUGUCGAAAACCAUCCGCUCAAUUGGCUUUGAGGAAAUGCACGGAAGGCUGCUACUUCCUUACGUCUUCUCUUCGACCAGUAAUCGUCGAGCCGUUCGAGCAGCAAGAUAACGUGGACGGUUAUCCCGACAAAAAUCUGCCACGCAAGAAUCCGGAGUUCUUCAAAGCUCGCGACAUCGGACCGCGCUUUGCACAAGUAGGCAGCUUCGAGCACGAGUACGGUACAAGGUGGAAGCAGCUGCACGAAUUGUACAAACAGAAGGAGGAGGCACUCAAACGAGAAAUGGCGAUGGAGGAGGAGAAACUAGAGGCUCAAAUGGAAUUUGCCAGAUACGAACAUGAAACGGAACUUCUGAGGGAACAGCUGCGUAUGCGCGAGGCGGAUCGCGAGAGGCAAAAGAGGGAGUGGGAGAUGAAGGAGCGACAAGCUGAAGAACAAAGGACUCGCGAAGAGGAGUUGAGGCGUCGUCAACAGGAAGAGAUGGCAAUUCGCAUCAGGAGACAAGAGGAAGAACUGCACAGGCGUCAACAGGAAAAUAACCUAUUUAUGCAGGAGCAGGCAAUUCGUAGUGGUGGUGGAAAAAAUUAUGAUUCUGUCAGUAACAAUGAUCGUGACGGAUAUGGCCAACCGGAUGGUGGAAGCGGCAUGCCAGUGGUUACUGCACCACCCGGUUAAAGCGCAGUUACAAAUAUAGGUUGGUUGUGCUUCUUGAAACGAGGAGCCCAUACUCUGCAUUAAUAAAUGCAAUGGCAUCAUAUGUUAAAGGGAUUUAUUCCUUCGGAGAGAUUUCGUAAUCAGACGGGCAGACGAAAUGCAGCUUGACGUGUUACAUGAACGCAACUCUAACAUAAAGGUUUCGGUACGUGUUGAGGAUUACCAAAUGCUAAAAAGUUGGUUCAAAAUGUUCUACGCGAUACAGGAUAGGAUGGGAUAGGAAUCUCCAGGGAUCGGAAAGUUGCAAUUAUUCAGUUGCGGACUGUGAUAUUUUGUAUUUUAAUAAAUAUACACUCUUAUUAAUAUC